AAUUUUGGACAAUGGGGGAAAGUCUGCCGGAGCAACGCCGCGUGAGCGAUGAAGGCCUUCGUGUCGGAUAGCUCUGUCUGGAGGGAUGAAAAAAAUGACAGUAGCUCCGGAGGAAGCGCCGGCGAACUACGUGCCAGCAGCCGCGGUAAUACGUAGGGGGCAAGCGUUGUCCGGAAUUAUUGGGCGUAAAGGGUGCGUAGGCGGCUUUUUAAGUCAGAUGUGAAAGAACACGGCUUAACCGUGGGGUUGAAUUUGAAACUGGAAGGCUUGAGUAUCGGAGAGGGUAGUGGAAUUCCCAGUGUAGCGGUGAAAUGCGUAGAUAUUGGGAGGAACACCAGUGGCGAAGGCGACUACCUGGACGAAAACUGACGCUGAUGCACGAAAGCUAGGGGAGCAAACA
rnacentral:rRNA from 1 species